GGAGGGCUCGCAUAGUGGCCUAGUGCGACGGUCUUGAAAACCGUUAUGUCGGCAACGGCAUCGUGGGUUCGAAUCCCACGCCCUCCGCCA
rnacentral:tRNA from 2 species